AGAGUUUGAUCCUGGCUCAGGACGAACGCUGGCGGUGUGCUUCACACAUGCAAGUCGAACGAGGUAGCAAUACCUAGUGGCGGACGGGUGAGUAACGCGUGGGAAUCUGCCUUUAGAUGGGGGAUAACGAGCCGAAAGGUUCGCUAAUACCGCAUAUGCCGCAAGGUGAAAGGAGUAAUCCGUCUAAAGAUGAGCCCGCGUCCGAUUAGCUAGUUGGUGGGGUAAAGGCCUACCAAGGCGACGAUCGGUAGCUGGUCUGAGAGGAUGAUCAGCCACAAUGGGACUGAGACACGGCCCAUACUCCUACGGGAGGCAGCAGUGGGGAAUUUUACGCAAUGGGGGAAACCCUGACGUAGCGACACCGCGUGAGCGAAGAAGCCCCUUGGGGUGUAAAGCUCUGUCAGCUGGAACGAAACAAAUGACGGUACCAGCAGAGGAAGCAUCGGCUAACUACGUGCCAGCAGCCGCGGUAAGACGUAGGAUGCGAGCGUUGUCCGGAUUUAUUGGGCGUAAAGAGUUCGUAGGUGGUUUGUUAAGUUUGAUGUUAAAGAUCGGGGCUCAACCUCGGGACAGCAUUGAAUACUGGCAGACUGGAGUGCAGUAGAGGCUAGUGGAAUUCCCAGUGUAGCGGUGAAAUGCGUA
rnacentral:rRNA from 1 species